GACACCACUCGCCCCGUCCCCCUUCCUUUUCACUUCUCGAGGGAGAGAGGAGGGGGGGCGCGGCGCGGACUCUGCGUGUUCCGGAGCGCGAGCUCCGAGUGCACCGAACCGAACGAGACUCCUCCCAUCAUUGUUAGCAUGUGCGACUGCCGGCAGGGACUUUUACUGGGCGGGAGUUGUUGACGGCGUGUUGCUCGCUCGACUCGAGCGACACGACUCUCGACUCCCAAAACCCCGGAGUUUCGUGUUGUCGGUGGUGUUUUAUCGUACAUCAUUUGGUGAGAGGAUUAUCAAGUUGUAGUUCCGGUGCCUCAUCACCUACCUACUUACUUACUUGAUAGAUAGAUAAGUCUAGGUGAUGAUACUACCCCAACUUUCG
rnacentral:misc_RNA from 1 species